CAAUCCCCAGCGGUGAGCAGUUUAUAAGUAUCUGCUCGGCAUCCGGGCUGUCUCUCUGCGGGCUGCUACCAUGCGGUGUGUUGUGACAUAUGCUAGUUGUCGCGAAGUAGGUGCUGAACCGACCUGAUGGAGGAGCUGUAAGACAAGUCCCCCACCAUGCUUCCUCUCUGGGACUACAGGUGGAGCCUGUAGAGCGCCCUAUGCUGGCGGUCCUGCUGCUGCUUCUCUCAGACAGAAGCACGGAGAGCUGCUGGCAAGCCAGGGGCAGCAGCUGGAGCUCAGUGUGGCAGGUGGAUCAGGUGAAAGGAGGCUGACUGCAAGAUGCAUCCGGACCAACUUCACUCAACCUGAGCCACUGUUUCACUUCACUGCCGUCAGGACAGUUGUUAUGUCCUAGUUAUGAAUGAUCAUUUAUUUUACUUCUAUUUUUACUUCAGACAUGACUUGCUGUCGAGACUGUAUGCUACAAGCUGAAAUGGAUCAAGCCAAUAAAAUAAAAAAAACUGUG